rnacentral:rRNA from 1 species
UACGGAGGGUGCGAGCGUUUGUCCGGAAUCACUGGGCGUAAAGGGCGCGUAGGCGGCGCGACAAGGCGGCGGUGAAAGUCCGGGGCUCAACCCCGGGAUCGGCCGUGGCGACUGUCGCGCUCGAGCACAGUAGAGGCGGGUGGAAUUCCGGGUGUAGCGGUGGAAUGCGUAGAGAUCCGGAGGAACACCAGAGGCGAAGGCGGCAACCUGGCUCGUAACUGACGCUCAUACACGACAGCAUGGGGGAGCGAACGGGG